AGUGAUGUAGCUCAGUGGCAGAUCAUCUGUCUUGCAUGCAAAAGGUCCCACCUUCCAUUCCUGGUGUCUCUA